rnacentral:rRNA from 1 species
UAAGAAUUUAAUUUUGGUUCUGAUUGAACGUUGUUCAGUAGUUUAAGACAUGCGAAUCGUUGUUUCCAAAAUCAUUUUAGGAAAUAAGGUGUAACGGUGAGUAAUAGUAAAUAAGAUACCCUUUAGUCUCUAUAAAUAAGAGAUAUUUCUUAAACAUUUUUUUUGAAGUCAAAUCUUCAUUAAUUUUUUUUAAGAAAAAGAUUUGCUAUAAAUUAAUAAAGGAAUUUUUUCUGCUUUUGGAUUCUAUUUAUUUUGAUUAGGUAGUUGGUGGGGUAAUGGCCUGACCAAGCCUACGAUCUCUAGCUAAGCUUGAAAGAGCCGCUGGCCACAUUGGAAGUGAGAUACUCCAAGUAGUAACUUUUUUUAUUUUAAUAAGAUCAGGAUACUAUCAGCAGUCGAGAAUAUUAGUCAAUGCUCGCAAGAGUGAACUAGCUAACUGAAAUCUUAAGCCGAGCUAAGCUCGUAUUGGGAUGUCGUAAGGGAAAAUAAUGAUACUACCUUACUAUAAGUGUCGUCCAAAACUGGUGCCAGAAGACUCGGUAAGGCCAGAGACGCAAACGUUAAUCUACAUCAACAGGCGUAAAGGGUAAGUAGGCUGCUUAAAAAGUAUUUUCUAUUUAAAUAGCCAAAUAUUUUAAUUUAAUUUUAUUUCUCUUAAAUAAAAUAUGAAUUUAAGCUAGAAUCAAGAAGGGGUUGACCCAAAUAAUAUUUAGAGGAGGUUUAAUAUCUUUAGAUCCUAAAUGGAAUACUCAAGGCGAAAGCUUUUCAACCAAGUAAUGAUUGACGCUAAGGAACGAAGGGGAGGGCAAGAAACAGGAUCAGAUACCCUAUUACUCCUCUCAGUCAACGAUGAAUGGUAUACAUUAGUUUAUAUAAACUAUAUGAUAAAAGCUAACGCGAGUAACCAUUCCGCCUUGUAACUACGACUGCAAUGUUAAAAACAAAAAAAUUAGUCGGUCUCGAAGCAAACGAAGUGAAGCAUGUUAUUUAAUACGAUAAUCCGCGUAAAAUCUUACCAGUUCUUGCAUAAAAUUUUUAAUCUAUUCUAGAUUUUUAAAUAAUUUAUAUAUUUAUAUAUUUUUUAUAUAUCAAAUUUAUUAUUUUUUUUUUAAUUUAGGAUAAUUUAAAAAGAGUGUUUUUCUAAAUAAAAAAUGCUUAAUACAGGUGUUGCAUGGCUGUCUUCAGUCCGUUUUUUGAGAAGUUUGGUUAAAUCCGCUAACGGACAAAAUCCCUUUUGUUAAUUUAUACUUAACAUUCAAUGGCUCUGAUAGAGUACCAUUUGGGGCUAAGACAAGUCGUUAUGGCCCUUAUGAACUUGGGCUAUAGACGUGCCGCAAAAACUUUAACAAAGUGACGCAAUACCCUAAUAAGGAAGGAGCUAAUCAUUAAAUAAAGUUAUACAAUAUUAAAUUGUGACGGAUUGUCAUCUGAAACUCGGUGGCAUGAAGAAGGAAUUUCGAGUAAUCGUUGAUCACUAGCGCAACGGUGAAAAUACCCGCUUUCGUUAUGAACUAACUGUCUGUCGCUGGAAAGAAGCUUAAACUGGAGGAAAAUGGGGCGAAAAUAUUGCUUUUUAAGAAAAAUAUGAGCGUCUAAUAGUCAAUUAUUAAAAAACACCUUUGUUAAGUCAUUAGCUUUAGUUAAUUCAUUUAGGUAACAUUUCAAAAGUCAUAGCAAGGUAGCUGUACUGGAAAGUGCUGCUGUAUAAUAA